rnacentral:rRNA from 1 species
UACGUAGGGGGCAAGCGUUGUCCGGAUUUAUUGGGCGUAAAGAGCGUGUAGGCGGCCAGGUAGGUCAGCUGUGAAAACUCGAGGCUCAACCUCGAGACGCCGGUUGAAACCAUCUGGCUAGAGUCCGGAAGAGGAGAGUGGAAUUCCUGGUGUAGCGGUGAAAUGCGCAGAUAUCAGGAAGAACACCCGUGGCUAAGGCGGUUCUCUGGGACGGUACUGACGCUGAGACGCGAAAGCGUGGGGAGCGAACAGG